rnacentral:lncRNA from 1 species
AUCAAUUUAUUUAUUUCAGUAUAUGAGUGUUACAAUCUCUAUGAAUCCUCUGAUUCGCCUUUACAAAUAUUAAUUCAAGGGCUUAAAGCAUGAUCUUGAAUUUGAACUCGAUUUGCUGAUUUGGGGGACUUGAUAUUGACUUGUGCUUAAAUACAAUGGCUUUUGAGCUUGUUCUUGAAUAUUGCGGUCCUGAUCUUGAAUCUUGAUGAAGUUGAUUUGAAUGCCUAAGUUUUGUGGAGAAAUUGCAGUGUUUGAUCUACGAGCUUUCUCUUGCUUCUUGUUAGAGUUCUGGGGGUCCUUUUCUGAAUUAUGAGACCCCUAUUUAUAGUUAUGAAAAGGAAAGAGUACUGAUAAAGAUAGACUUUCUUUGACCAAUCAAAUUCAAGGGACGUGACGCCUUUUAUGGGCUUUGAUUUCAUUGGGCCUGCUCCAUAAUUUUGACAUAUGGCAUGGUCCUAUUGGCUCCUUCACUUGAUUUGGCAUGCCAUGUCUUUUCCACAUG